rnacentral:lncRNA from 1 species
AGGAGAUCUGGCAUCAACCACGCGCCGAGAGGAUCUCAACUUCUGCUGCCUCUGCACGCCCUAGGUAUAGCAGAUCCUACACACUACCCUUUUUUUAUUUGUUUCAGUAGAGUAGGAUGAACACCCGCAGCUCAGUCUGGGUUCGUAAAUUGUGUUUUCCUCUCCAAUAUGCUCUCUUUAUGCUUCAACUGCUAUGUGUGACCAUCACUCACGUAUAUGCACUACCUGUUAUUCCUAAAUUUUGUUAGCUCCAGUCUGCAACUACCCAUACAGAAUAAGAACAAUCAGAUAAAUGUUGCAUGGGAUGUCAAUAGCUUGGCCAAUCCAUUGUCUAUUUGUCUUCUUUAGACCACAUUGCAUUGUUAGCUCCAGUUUGUUGCCUAUUGUUCGUGUCAAACUCUUGCUCUGAUUUCACAUGGUCUAAUUAGUGUUCUAUAGAGAACAAUGCUUUCGGAUUAUGACUAAUCUCUCAAUUGUUUAGGUGGUGUAAAUUCACAUUAUUUUUCAAAAGCAUAUUUAGUUCGUUUAUCCUACAUUAUCUAUGACAAGUCGAUAAAAGAUGUAUAUGUUAUUUGUUCUUGCUCAUGCUCUUUUCUUAUAUCUGUUCAGGCCUAAUCUCACCAAACUUUGCUACACUUCACAUCAUGAGGGAAGGAGGGUAAGUAAGUAAAUUGGUGACAACAUAUCAUAUUCCUUCAAGUCUUACUGAGUCCGAAUUUUAAGUAGUGUAGUAUCCCAUCAUUCCGUCAGCCAGACAUUGAACUCAUUGUGGACUCAAUCAAAAGUAUUUGAAUUUCUCAUAUAUUAGUUAUUAAAACUAUCAGUGGUGUAGUAUCCAAUCAUUCUAUAAGCCAAACAUUGAACUGGUCGUGGAUUUGGUCAGAAGUAUUUGAAUUUAUCAUAUAAUCUUGUGCUUUUUUACUUUUAUCUGACUAUGUUACGAAAAGGACCAGUAAUAACUAAUGUGAUUUGAAAACACAUAAGAUCUCAUGAGUUAGGAUGGACAUAACCAUGCCCUCUGAAACAGUCACCAAACUUUAAGGAAGUUUGUAUAUGUGUCUUCAUUUUUAAGGAUUAGGAUGACCACCUAUCACCCACUGCCCAAAACCUUUAUAGGGGGCCAGUGCAUGAAAUUGUUUUCUUGCUAUACAUACACACACUAUAUGCAUAAUUUGGCUAACACGAGAUGUCUUUCAACAGAUGCGUCCAUCGCAAUAUCAAGCAAAUCAGAUGACAAGGUGUUUGGAGCAAGCUACUCAUAGCCAACUACAUAGUUUAGUACAAUGCUGCAUUGAAGCAGUGUAAAUAAAUAACUUGUAUGGCCUGCUUUUGGUAUAUAGUACGGAACCUUGAUCUUUAGGUAUUUCAUGCUACAAUUGUUAACAAAUGCACCGAUGGUCUGUAACGAGAUUUGAUGUUUUGAAUUGGACCAUUACUGUUGUAAGUAAAUAUUAUCUUAUGGUUUUUGAGUAAUACUACCAGGUGUUGGAU